UCUUAGCCUCGAUAGCAGUUAAAAUCUUUUUGUGUCGGUGUUCGGACAAAAAAUUGUAACUAAAAGCUGGACAAUGU
rnacentral:sRNA from 1 species